UGCAAGUCGAGCGGUAACAGGUGUAGCAAUACAUGCUGACGAGCGGCGAACGGGUGAGUAAUGCUUUGGAAUCUUCCCAGUAGUGGGGAAUAACCAGUCGAAAGAUUGGCUAAUACCGCAUACGUCUGUAAAGGGAAAGCGGGGGCUCGUAAGACCUCGCGCUAUUGGAUGAGCCAAAGUCGGAUUAGCUAGUUGGUGGGGUAAUGGCCUACCAAGGCGACAAUCCGUAGCUGGUCUGAGAGGACGACCAGCCACACCGGAACUGAGACACGGUCCGGACUCCUACGGGAGGCAGCAGUGGGGAAUAUUGGACAAUGGGGGAAACCCUGAUCCAGCGACGCCGCGUGUGUGAAGAAGGCCUGCGGGUUGUAAAGCACUUUUAGUGGGGACAAAAAGCUACGGACUAACACUCUGUGGUCUUGAUUUAACCCAAAGAAAAAGCACCGGCUAACUCUGUGCCAGCAGCCGCGGUAAUACAGAGGGUGCGAGCGUUAAUCGGAAUUACUGGGCGUAAAGCGCGCGUAGACGGUUUUGUAAGUCAGAUGUGAAAUCCCUGGGCUCAACCUGGGAACUGCAUUUGAUACUGCAUGGCUAGAGUAUGGAAGAGGGAAGUGGAAUUUCCGGUGUAGCGGUGAAAUGCGUAGAUAUCGGAAGGAACACCAGUGGCGAAAGCGACUUCCUGGUCCAAUACUGACGUUCAUGUGCGAAAGCGUGGGGAGCAAACAGGAUUAGAUACCCUGGUAGUCCACGCCAUAAACGAUGACAACUAGAUGUUGGGAGGGUCUGCCUCUCGGUGUCGCAGCUA
rnacentral:rRNA from 1 species